rnacentral:lncRNA from 1 species
AGAAUGUCAGGUCGUAGAAGAUACAACUGAUCUUAUAUUGAUAUUGAUCUUUUACGAAUGGAUCCCGGUUGUUCUAGUAGGUGCGUACUUUUUGUUUUUUUUAUUGUUCUUGUUCCUUUCAUUUUUAUUAUCGGGUGUCUUGAACAGUUCACACUCCUUCAAUGGAAGAAGAAGGCGAUGCAGCGCGCUUAGCUACUGCCUAUAAGCAACCAUAAGCUUUGACUUAGAUAAUUUUAAGCUCGAAGUAAUAUCUUUUCGGGAAGGGGAUCGAGCAGCUUCUAGAAACUAUACGAGAAAGCAAAGUGAAAUCUCUACUAUUACUUGGAAACCACUUUCUAUAAGAUUUAUCUUCUCUUCUUUAAUAAGGCAGAUUUCCGCAUCUAUCCUAGCAGCAACAGAAAGGAAGUGAAGAAAGAAAAACUGACUGGACCAUCGGGAAAGGGUGAUCGAUCAUAAGGAAGGCCUACNGCGGAUAACCUUCUCUUUAUGGGGGAGUCUUUCAGGAUCGAUUCAAAGGGCCAGUGAAAGUACGCGGACGGAGAAAUCCAACAAAACCACACCGUACCGGGCCAGUAGACCUUCUUUAUCUUAAAGGUUGUCUCCUGCCCCCAACUAGCGAGCGGCUAUAACCGAUGGGCGCAUGGAGACCACUACUCUACCCGAAAACUCGGGUUAAGUGGGGAACCUUCUCAUCGUGUUAAGCUUGCGAGCCUGUCUGUAA